CUACGGGUCGCUCCAGUGGGGAAUAUUGGACAAUGGGGGAAACCCUGAUCCAGCAAUGCCGCGUGUGUGAAGAAGGCCUGCGGGUUGUAAAGCACUUUCGGUUGGGAGGACUGCUUCUAGCACUAAUAUUGUUGGAAGUUGACGUUACCUUCAGAAGAAGCACCGGCUAACUUCGUGCCAGCAGCCGCGGUAAUACGAAGGGUGCAAGCGUUGUUCGGAUUUAUUGGGCGUAAAGCGCGCGCAGGCGGAUUGGUAAGUCAGAUGUGAAAUCUCGGGGCUCAACCCCGAAACUGCGUCUGAAACUACUAGUCUAGAAUCUUGUAGAGGAGAGCGGAAUUUCGCAUGUAGGGGUAAAAUCCGUAGAGAUGCGAAGGAACACCAGAGCCGAAGGGGGCUCUCUGGGCAAGUAUUGACGCUGAGGCGCGAAAGCAUGGGUAGCGAACAGGAUUAGAUACCCUAGUAGUC
rnacentral:rRNA from 1 species